rnacentral:rRNA from 1 species
UUGACUUAGUGGCGGACGGGUGAGUAACGCGUGGGUAACCUGCCUCACACAGGGGGAUAACAGUUGGAAACGACCGCUAAUACCGCAUAACCCGCUAGGGCCGCAUGGCCCGGACGGAAAAGAUUUAUCGGUGUGAGAUGGACCCGCGUUGGAUUAGCUAGUUGGCAGGGUAACGGCCUACCAAGGCGACGAUCCAUAGCCGGCCUGAGAGGGUGAACGGCCACAUUGGGACUGAGACACGGCCCAA